rnacentral:tRNA from 2 species
CCCUGGUUAUGCUCAGUUGGUAGAGCGCUCCACUUGUAAUGGAGAGGUCCCGGGUUCGAUACCCGGACCAGGCG